rnacentral:rRNA from 1 species
UUGAACGCUGGCGGAAUGCUUUACACAUGCAAGUCGAGCGGCAGCGCGGGGGCAACCCUGGCGGCGAGCGGCGAACGGGUGAGUAAUACAUCGGAACGUACCCAAUCGUGGGGGAUAACACAUCGAAAGAUGUGCUAAUACCGCAUAAGUCCUGAGGGAGAAAGCGGGGGAUCGCAAGACCUCGCGCGGAUGGAGCGGCCGAUGGCGGAUUAGCUAGUUGGUGGGGUAAAGGCCUACCAAGGCGACGAUCCGUAGCUGGUCUGAGAGGACGACCAGCCACACUGGAACUGAGACACGGUCCAGACUCCUACGGGAGGCAGCAGUGGGGAAUUUUGGACAAUGGGCGCAAGCCUGAUCCAGCCAUUCCGCGUGAGUGAAGAAGGCCUUCGGGUUGUAAAGCUCUUUCGGCAGGGAAGAAACGGUUUUGGCUAAUAUCCAGAGCUAAUGACGGUACCUGAAGAAGAAGCACCGGCUAACUACGU